UAAUUCCAGCUCCAGGGGACAAUACAAUAGAACAUCAUAAGUGAAAGCUGUUUUCAUUUAUAAUAUUUGUAGUAUAGUAUAAGUCUUUUUGAACUGAUGUAACAAAAGUACCAGAAACUAAAUAGCUUUUAGAGGAAUUUUUUUUCUAUUCUGAAGGUUGAGAAAAAUCCAUUCCCAAGUGUGUCUAUAAAGACAAAGAGAAUGUAUCCCAGGUGGUGGUGGUACAGCACUUGGGAGGCAGAAGCAAGCAGAUCUCUGUUGAGUUCGAGGCCAACCUCAUCUACAAAGUCCUGCUCGCUAGCAGUUCAGUAGAGAGAAGCUUUCAGAGAAACAAGGAAAAGAGGAAGUGGCCAGACAGGAUGCCAUGACAGUGGCCUUGCUGCAAAUGGAAGAAGGGAUAUGUGUCCAUGCAGAACUGGUAGAGGCGCUGGGGCCUCAGGCCAAACAAACAUGAGGUGACUGGAAAGGUGGGGAAAUAGCUGAAUGAAGAGUGGAGGCCACAAGGGAAGACUCAAGCGAGAGACACAGAAGCUUUCCAAGGGCUUCAAGAAGGAUGACAUCAGUCAAUGCUGAUGGGCCCAACAAGAAGGCAGAAUAUAAACAACUCCCUGGAGAUAUGCUGCUGUAAAUGAGCUAUAGAAAGAGAAGUUCAAACAAAGACAUUUUCUUUCCUUUAUUUAUUCUUCCUCCCCUCCCCCCUUCCACUGUUUCUUGUGUCGGAUUACAACACUUGUUGAUGUGAGUGAUACUACAGCGUAGGAGAGAUGGGCAGCACAGAGGCAACCUAGAGAGCAGACAGGCGAGGAAGCCAUAUAGGGGUGUGGAGUGCACAGACACACACUGAGGACUGCCUCACUGAGACAGACGAAACACAUGCACAUUGUUUUCCUUUCACAUUCUCAAUUCAGUAAGAGAGGUGGCCAACUGAAUGCAAGGCAGAAAAAGAAUGGAUUACAGGAGAAAGGUUCAAAAGGAGAAGGGAGGGGAGCAGAGAGCUGGCCAGGGUAGGGAAGCCACCAGAGGCCUUGAAGAACAGCUUGUUCAGCUGUCAGGUGGGAUGGAGUUGAGAGUGAGUGGGGACUGCUAACCCUGGAGUUGUGCUUAGAUGUCAGGGCACUGUGCUGGGUGACAUAUUCAUAGAACUACAUUAGUUUCUCCACAUCCUCCCAGUGCCUUAGACAGUCCACAGUUCUAGUCUGUGGAUCCUACUCAGGCAGUACAGUGGUUGCCUGGGACACUGAAGUCCCGGGAUCAAUCCCUAUAGUAAACCACGUGAAUCUGGUAUUGUGGCGUCUGCCUGCAGAGUAGUCACAGCUAUGAAGUGGAAGUUUCUGUUUGUGUCAUGCGAUGCAGACUCAUGUGGUAUUUUGCUUAGGCAAGACCUGCAGCAGGACAGGUGAUGUUUGGAGAGAGUAUACAUACAUAGGACUCAACAGACAGUGAUGGGGUGCUUGCACAGCUAGCCUUGCAAUGUUUCGUUGGUCUUCAGUCUUCACUGAUCUUCACUUCAUUGAGAGAGGUAUGGCAGAGAGUUUCUCCUGGCACCCCAGCUGGUUCUGGUCACUCCCAUAGUGGAGGACUGUCUGUUUCUGCUAGAUCAUACCUCCACUGCUGAUCUGUAUUUGAUAUCCUACCACUACCAAAUUGGACUGCUGGUAUCUCAACAACAAAGACUGGAAUCACCCCCAAAGACCUACUUCUAUUCUGGUCCACAUACCCUUGUCCUAGUUACCAUUUUUCUCUCCAACCUUUGGACAGUGGACUAGAAGGAGAGUGGGUCGAAGCAUUUGAGGAUUCUUAUUAAAGUAGAUUUUGAAAAA